GGUGGGGUUCCCGAGUGGCUAAAGGGAUCAGACUGUAAAUCUGACGCGCAAGCUUCGGUGGUUCGAAUCCACCCCCCAUCACCA
rnacentral:tRNA from 1 species